GCGAAAGCCUGAUCCAGCCAUGCCGCGUGUGUGAAGAAGGUCUUCGGAUUGUAAAGCACUUUAAGUUGGGAGGAAGGGUAGUAACUUAAUACGUUGCUACUUUGACGUUACCGACAGAAUAAGCACCGGCUAACUCUGUGCCAGCAGCCGCGGUAAUACAA
rnacentral:rRNA from 1 species